rnacentral:rRNA from 1 species
CCUACGUGAGACUGCAGUGAGGAAUAUUGGUCAAUGGGCGGAAGCCUGAACCAGCCAAGUAGCGUGCAGGAUGACGGUCCUACGGGUUGUAAACUGCUUUUAUACGGGAAUAACGCGCCUUACGUGUAGGGCUUUGCAUGUACCGUAUGAAUAAGGACCGGCUAAUUCCGUGCCAGCAGCCGCGGUAAUACGGAAGGUCCGGGCGUUAUCCGGAUUUAUUGGGUUUAAGGGGAGCGUAGGCCGCAUGUCAAGCGUGCUGUGAAAUGUCCGGGCUCAACCCGGGCCUUGCAGCGCGAACUGGCGUGCUUGAGUCCGCGGAAAGCAGGCGGAAUUCGUCGUGUAGCGGUGAAAUGCUUAGAUAUGACGAAGAACCCCGAUUGCGAAGGCAGCUUAAUAAACUAUAACGGACACUGAAGCACGAAAGCGUGGGGAUCAAACAGGAUUAGAUACCCGGGUAGUC